GAUCAACAAAAGUGCAGAGGGGGAGUUGUAAUGUGGCUAUAAUUAAACAUCAUGAGGAAACACAAUACUUCAUUGAGGAAUUCAGGUACCUAUACUAGCCCGUCGACACCAGAGUAUGGAGAUGAUCAUUUUGAAGGAUUUCAGAAAGGAUGGAGUUCGGAGCGAGUUCCCUUGCCAACUAAUAGUAGUAGAAGACACAUUACUGCUACUGCAUUGAUGCCG
rnacentral:misc_RNA from 1 species